rnacentral:rRNA from 1 species
CGCGUAGGUGGCCAGGUAAGUCGGAUGUGAAAGCCCCGGGCUUAACCUGGGAACUGCUUUCGAUACUGCCUGGCUAGAGUGUGGUAGAGGAGAGCGGAAUUCCCGGUGUAGCGGUGAAAUGCGUAGAUAUCGGGAGGAACAUCAGUGGCGAAGGCGGCUCUCUGGACCAACACUGACGCUGAGGUGCGAAAGCGUGGGUAGCAAACA